rnacentral:rRNA from 1 species
GACGAACGCUGGCGGCGUGCUUAACACAUGCAAGUCGAACGGUGAAGCGCCUUCCUUUUUGGUGGGUGUGGAUGAGUGGCGAACGGGUGAGUAACACGUGAGUAACCUGCCCCCUUCUUCUGGAUAACCGCAUGAAAGUGUGGCUAAUACGGGAUAUUCUGGGUCUGUCGCAUGAUGGGUCUGGGAAAGAUAUUGUUUCGGUGGGGGAUGGGCUCGCGGCCUAUCAGCUUGUUGGUGGGGUGAUGGCCUACCAAGGCGGUGACGGGUAGCCGGCCUGAGAGGGUGGACGGUCACACUGGGACUGAGACACGGCCCAGACUCCUACGGGAGGCAGCAGUGGGGAAUAUUGCACAAUGGGCGCAAGCCUGAUGCAGCGACGCCGCGUGAGGGAUGGAGGCCUGCGGGUUGUGAACCUCUUUCGCCAGUGAAGCAGGCCUGCCUCGUUUGUGGGUGGGUUGACGGUAGCUGGAUAAGAAGCUCCGGCUAACUACGUG